UCGACAAAAUUGUUAGACAUUCCCGAAGGAAUCUUGUUCAUUACCAGUUUCAACCAGUUUUUGCCAUGAAUCUCUUAAGGAGAAACACAUCUAUAUAUUAGAAGAUCAAAGACCUUUCUUCGCCGCAAGGCAUACCAGCAGGAGUACUAGUUUUUGCGGGGAAAUCCCGGAUUCGGCAACAGGAAGAACCCAGCAAAAGACACUGCUGAAAACCCAAGUUUUUGCGCACCCGUUUGCAGCGCUGCUUAACUGGCACAGUUACGGCACGUGUGUUAUACUAGCUGAUUAGGAGGAGGAGGAGCCAUGCUGCUGUAGAGCCAGUGGGGAGGUGGUUUUGGAUCUAGUAUAAAAAGGGCUCGAAAAUCAGUCAAUAUUAUCACAACUUUUUGAACAGUUGAACUCGUCUAGCCUUCCUUAUAGCAAAAAAUGGUCAAAUCGAUUCUUAUGAUUUUGAUGGUGUCUUUGGUGCUGCUGGCAAUUGUCAACGAGUUCGGUGGGCUCGUGAAUGGACAGUGCCAUUCAUCCCUAGGCAACUGUUGUCGUUGGCGUUGCGAUGGCGCUGUGAACUGUCGUUGCACAUCUUUCUUUGCUGCAAACUGCGGUGCACCAGACGGGUGUGGUAGAGGAUAACCCUAACCGAAAUAGUAAUUCAUCACUUGUUUUUCAUGCAACCGAACUGGACCGAAUUUGUUAUCCGACCAAGAUUAUCCGAAACAACUACAGAAUUUGAAUAAUGGGAAAAAAAUUAGAAAAUCCAAGUCUGUCCUAUCUAAAUCUUCUGGUUUCAAUUAACCCGAGCAAUAUUUGUAUAAUUGUGGAUAUAUUCAAAUAAUCCGCUUGAAUAUAUAUUCAACCUUCCAACUCUGAUAAUACACAUCAUACAAAUGCUCA